UAUUUUUUUACUGUGAUGCCAAAAUUCAAAAAUAAUUUUAAAGUUUUAAAGUCACAUAAAUAUUCUAUAUUGAAUGAAUACCCCCGUUCCAUCAUCUGUUUGUCUAAAAGUUUCGUUCAUUCCAAUUUUUUAGUAACUUAUACCCUCUUUCCUUCAGGAAAAGCCACAAAUCAGCCCCUCUGAAGUACCAACGACUUGUAAUGGACCUAGCAUUAAUACGAAUAAAAGUGAUCAGAUUAAAGAAACCGUUGAACCCCCGACGUACAUAUAAGUACAAACGACAUUGGUUUUGUAAAACAAUCAACACGUAAAUUAACAAACGAAGAGAAAUUUAAUUUGAUAAGAAAUCAUUUCCAACUUGGAAUAAACUAGAACUUUCCUAUUAAAAAAAAUAUGCAGGAAAGAACAGACUGUUUCAGCUGAAUUGGCUAAAUCGCUAUGAUGGGCUAGUG
rnacentral:lncRNA from 1 species